GGGACUUGGAAAUCGAAUCUGUGCUCUGUGAGAGAUCCUAGGAAAGGAAACUGGGAGCCCGGGAGAACUAAAAUUCCCAAUUAAAAGUGAAUUUAAAUCUGAGCUGUUCUUAGACCCAGAAUUUCUUGCCUGAAGGAGGAAUCAGGUCCCCACAAGGAAAGACCCUGCAACUGUAUAAAAAAAGAAUCUAAAAAGAUCAUGACUCCUUCAGUCCUUUCCCAAAGAGACCUAUGGAAAUUUCCUCAGGAAGAGGGACCAAGCAAA
rnacentral:lncRNA from 10 species